rnacentral:rRNA from 1 species
CCUACGGGUGGCAGCAGUGGGGAAUAUUGCACAAUGGGGGAAACCCUGAUGCAGCAACGCCGCGUGAAGGAAGACGGUUUUCGGAUUGUAAACUUCUAUCAAUAGGGAAGAAAGAAAUGACGGUACCUAAAUAAGAAGCCCCGGCUAACUACGUGCCAGCAGCCGCGGUAAUACGUAGGGGGCAAGCGUUAUCCGGAAUUACUGGGUGUAAAGGGAGAGUAGGCGGUCUGUUAAGUCAGCGGUCAAAGCCCGGGGCUCAACCCCGGCCCGCCGUUGAAACUGGCAGUCUCGAGUUGGAGAGAAGUAUGUGGAAUGCGCGGUGUAGCGGUGAAAUGCAUAGAUAUCGCGCAGAACUCCGAUUGCGAAGGCAGCAUGCCGGCUCCACACUGACGCUGAGGCACGAAAGCGUGGGUAUCGAACAGGAUUAGAUACCCUAGUAGUC